GACCGCGUAGCUCAGGGGUAGAGCAAUCGCCUUUUAAGCGAUUGGCCGUGGGUUCGAAUCCCACCGCGGUCA
rfam:Armatimonadetes bacterium 13_1_40CM_3_65_7 13_1_40cm_3_scaffold_207480, whole genome shotgun sequence.